UCGCCCCCAUGAUAUCUAGCCAUGGGCUCUGACCUCCCCUGAGGUCCUGUGCCCCUAGGACCUCUGACACCUAGGGAUCUGAGAGGUUC